CUUCCCCUCCUCCUCUUUCCCUCCCAUCACGCUCCCCAUCUCAACCAUGCCAUCCAAGGUGGAACCCUUCUCUAAUCUGGUCGCGGCCUUCAGGAAGUGGGACUCGCAAGUGGGGUGCGCUCGCUUCAAAGACAAACCCAAUGGGGUGCCCCUUAACCAGUCAAAGGUCGUGUCUUUACAGGAAGUUGGCGAUUGUGGGGGCUUGAAACUCAACCAUGUUAGCGUUUUGGUCAAAGGGUGGACUUGGAUUCCCGAUAACUUGGAUAACUUGUACUCUUGCUCUUGUGGCUUGAGCUGCUUGUGGACCAAAUCGCUCGUUCUUGCUGACAAGCCUGAUGCUUUGUUGUUUGAAUCUUCCAUGCCUCCUGUUCAGGAGGAAGUGGUAAUAUUACAACUACAACUAGUUAUGAUGUGAAAUAUAAUACAUUGGUGGCAGACUGAUUGUGGUGUACAAGGAGUCGUAGUCAGGGGAAGCUGGUGGUAGUAAUAAGUUAAGUUAUCCUUUUCAGCAUAUACCCAUAUCCUCCUAUGCCAUCAAAAGGGCAAGUUCAUUUCUCCAUUUAGUUCCAGUUUUUGAAUUUUGCUGAUUUUUAGCUUAUUUUAUUUUCAACUUCAAAAUAAGUAAUAAAUUUGCUUGUUCUAGUUAUGCUUAUAAAUUUCAAUGGUUUUUUAAGUUUUGUCUUUUGUUUGUUGCAAUCUUAUAUUGUAUACUUAGGAUCACAUUCUCAUGGCCCAAACCCUUCAGCAAGUGAUCUUGAGUCUGCAACAAAUUCCCAUUACAAAUUAUUAGGCUUACACUUGGGAAGGAUUGUACAUGAGAAAUGACCAAGAAUUUGAAUGACGAGGAGUUUGAUUUUGACCAAACAGGGAGCAAUAUUAUUAGUUGCGUUACCGGGUCUUCAGGAGAAGUAUGUUUAAUUAUUUGCAAUGGUUGAAACGAAGACAAGCAUGCAUGUUAGGUGCGCAAGAGGGUAUCCCUGUAUCUGUAUUUGGGGCUUAUGUUCAACAAUUAGAAACAAGUCGUGUGAAGCUCAUGCAAUUGGAGUUGGAGAUUGAGAAAGCAAGAAAGCAGGGUAUGUACAUACGCGGUGCUAGAUGUCAGUUAUAUGGGAUAAUCCGCAACAAUUAACCCAGUGCAAGUAGACUUGGAAGAGAACACCAUGAUGAUUUAGCACAACUUAUGCUAGGAAUGGGCUAUGCUACUGAAGAAGAUAUGCUUAAUAUUAUUAUUUCUUAUGAAAUUUAGUGAUUAUGAAGAGUCAUAAGUUUGUGUGUAACUAUUUUUCUAUGUUAAAUAAUAGAAGGAAAGAAGAACAAGAGAGACACAAUUAUACAAAAAAAAAGCAUUCUACAUCGGUUCUAGAAUUAUGUCUUAGAAUGAGUAUCAUUCUACAUUGGUUCUUGGAAGACCGUCGUAGAAUAGGAUACAUUUUACAUCGGUUCUAGGAUAACCGUCGUAGAAUGCGUACCAUUAUAAAACGGUUCUUCGCACGUGACCGUCUUAGAAUGGAUGUCAUUCUACGACGGUCUUUGCAAAACCGAUGUAGAAUAGUUGUACCAUUCUACGACGGUCUUUACAGAAUCGAUGUAGAAUAGUCUAUGUUUUUUACGACGCCGCCUAUGAUGACGGUUGUAAAUCGAUGUAGAAUGUCCUUAUUAACCGAUGUAGAAUGCAAUUUUUCUAGUAGUGAAAUAUUGUAAAUUAAUUAUUAGUAUGCUUAUAGAAAUGUUUCC